GAUGAACGCUGGCGGCGUGCCUAAUACAUGCAAGUCGAACGCUCAAGGAAGGAGCUUGCUCUUUCCGGGUGAGUUGCGAACGGGUGAGUAACGCGUAGGUAACCUGCCUGGUAGCGGGGGAUAACUAUUGGAAACGAUAGCUAAUACCGCAUAACAGUAGAUGUUGCAUGAUUUCUACUUAAAAGGUGCAAUUGCACCACUACCAGAUGGACCUGCGUUGUAUUAGCUAGUUGGUAAGGUAACGGCUUACCAAGGCGAGGAUACAUAGCCGACCUGAGAGGGGAAUGGCCAACCUGGGAAUGGGAACAGGGCCAAGCCCCUAAGGGGAGGAACAGGAGGGGAGCUUCGGCAAAUGACGGAAGGCUGGACGGGCAAAGCCGGGGGAGUGGAGGAAGGUUUCGGGUUGGAAAGAUCUUUUGUUAGGGAAGAAAGAGUGUGGGAGGGAAAAGUGCACACUGUGACGGUAUCUUAUCAGAAAGGGACGGCUAACUACGUG
rnacentral:rRNA from 1 species